rnacentral:misc_RNA from 1 species
CCGAGUACCGGGUCUUUCAGGCCCUUACUCCCACCCUUUGUGUAUCUUACCUUUAUUUCUUGUUGCCUUGGCGGGUCUAGGGGGAGACCCCGGGGGCCUAACGGCCCCGCCCGCCAGGGGGACAGCCCUUAAAACUCUUUGUUAACCGGGUCGUCUGAGAAAACAAAACAAAUGAAUUA